GGUGGUGCAUGGUUGUCGUCAGCUCGUGUCGUGAGAUGUUGGGUUAAGUCCCGCAACGAGCGCAACCCUUGUCUUAUGUUGCCAGCACGUGAUGGUGGGGACUCAUGAGAGACUGCCGGGGUCAACUCGGAGGAAGGUGGGGAUGACGUCAAAUCAUCAUGCCCCUUAUGUCCAGGGCUUCACACAUGCUACAAUGGUCGGUACAGAAGGUCGCGAACUCGUGAGAGUAAGCCAAUCCUUCAAAGCCGGCCUCAGUUCGGAUUGGGGUCUGCAACUCGACCCCAUGAAGUCGGAGUCGCUAGUAAUCGCAGAUCAGCAACGCUGCGGUGAAUACGUUCCCGGGCCUUGUACACACCGA
rnacentral:rRNA from 1 species